CGAACGAUUAAGACUCCCUUCGGGGAGUGCAUAAAGUGGCGCACGGGUGAGUAACACGUAAGUAAUCUACCUUCGAGUGGGGAAUAACAGUCGGAAACGACUGCUAAUACCGCAUAAUGCAGCGGCAUCGUAAGAUGACAGUUGUUAAAGGAGCAAUUCGCUUGAAGAGGAGCUUGCGGCAGAUUAGCUAGUUGGUAAGGUAAUGGCUUACCAAGGCAACGAUCUGUAACCGGUCUAAGAGGACGGUCGGUCACACUGACACUGAAUAACGGGUCAGACUCCUACGGGAGGCAGCAGUCGGGAAUUUUGGGCAAUGGGGGAAACCCUGACCCAGCAACGCCGCGUGAAGGAUGAAGUAUUUCGGUAUGUAAACUUCGAAAGAAUAGGAAGAAUUAAUGACGGUACUAUUUAUAAGGUCCGGCUAACUACGUGCCAGCAGCCGCGGUAAUACGUAGGGACCAAGCGUUGUUCGGAUUUACUGGGCGUAAAGGGCGCGUAGGCGGCAUGACAAGUCACUUGUGAAAUCUCCGGGCUUAACUCGGAACGGCCAAGUGAUACUGUCGCGCUAGAGUGCGGAAGGGGCAAUCAGAAUUCUUGGUGUAGCGGUGAAAUGCGUAGAUACCAAGAGGAAUACCUGAGGUGAAGACGGGUUGCUAGGCCGACACUGACGCUGAGUGCGCGAAAGCCAGGGGAGCAAACGGGAUUAGAUACCCCGGUAGUCCUGGCCCUAAACGAUGAAUACUUGGUGUCUGGAGUUUUUAGUGCUCCGGGUGCCGUCGCUAAC
rnacentral:rRNA from 1 species